rnacentral:rRNA from 1 species
UUAUAAGACGAGAAGACCCCAUGGAGCUUUAAACCCGAUAGCACCCCUAUUUAACUUAACCCACACAUCACUUGGGCCAUGUCUACUCGGCUUUAGGUUGGGGUGACCGCGGAGUACAAAAUAACCUCCACGAAGAAUGGACUUAACUCCUUAUCUAAGAGACACACCUCUAAGAAUUAGCAUACUAAUAUUAAAUGAUCCGGUAUUUUAACCGAUCAACGAACCAAGUUACCCUGGGGAUAACAGCGCAAUCCACUUCAAGAGCUCUUAUCGA